rnacentral:rRNA from 1 species
GACGAACGCUGGCGGCGUGCCUAAUACAUGCAAGUAGAACGCUGAAGCGAGGAGCUUACUCCUCUUGGAUGAGUUGCGAACGGGUGAGUAACGCGUAGGUAACCUGCCUUGUAGCGGGGGAUAACUAUUGGAAACGAUAGCUAAUACCGCAUAACAAUGGAUGACACAUGUCAUUUAUUUGAAAGGGGCAAUUGCUCCACUACAAGAUGGACCUGCGUUGUAUUAGCUAGUAGGUGAGGUAAUGGCUCACCUAGGCGACGAUACAUAGCCGACCUGAGAGGGUGAUCGGCCACACUGGGACUGAGACACGGCCCAGACUCCUACGGGAGGCAGCAGUAGGGAAUCUUCGGCAAUGGGGGCAACCCUGACCGAGCAACGCCGCGUGAGUGAAGAAGGUUUUCGGAUCGUAAAGCUCUGUUGUAAGUCAAGAACGGGUGUGAGAGUGGAAAGUUCACACUGUGACGGUAGCUUACCAGAAAGGGACGGCUAACUACGUG